GUAGGGAAUCUUCCACAAUGGACGCAAGUCUGAUGGAGCAACGCCGCGUGAGUGAAGAAGGUUUUCGGAUCGUAAAGCUCUGUUGUUGGUGAAGAAGGAUAGAGGCAGUAACUGGUCUUUAUUUGACGGUAAUCAACCAGAAAGUCACGGCUAACUACGUGCCAGCAGCCGCGGUAAUACGUAGGUGGCAAGCGUUGUCCGGAUUUAUUGGGCGUAAAGCGAGCGCAGGCGGAAUGAUAAGUCUGAUGUGAAAGCCCACGGCUCAACCGUGGAACUGCAUCGGAAACUGUCAUUCUUGAGUGCAGAAGAGGAGAGUGGAACUCCAUGUGUAGCGGUGGAAUGCGUAGAUAUAUGGAAGAACACCAGUGGCGAAGGUGGCUCUCUGGUCUGCAACUGACGCUGAGGCUCGAAAGCAUGGGUAGCGAACAGGAUUAGAAACCCCUGUAGUCC
rnacentral:rRNA from 1 species